rnacentral:tRNA from 1 species
CGCGGGAUGGAGCAGCAUGGUAGCUCGUCGGGCUCAUAACCCGAAGGUCGUCGGUUCAAAUCCAGCUCCCGCAACCA